GAUGAAGAACGCAGCGAAAUGCGAUAAGUAAUGUGAAUUGCAGAAUUCAGUGAAUCAUCGAAUCUUUGAACGCACAUUGCGCCCCUUGGUAUUCCGAGGGCAUGCCUGUUCGAGCGUCAUUAUAACCCCUCAAGCUCAGCUUGGUGUUGGGGCCUGCUGCACUGGCAGCCCUUAAAAUCAGUGGCGGCGCCAUCUGGCUCUAAGCGUAGUAAUUCUUCUCGCUAUGGAGUCCUGGUGGAUGCUUGCCAUCAACCCCCAAUUUUUCUAUGGUUGACCUCGGAUCAGGUAGGGAUACCCGCUGAACUUAAGCAUAUCAAUAAGCGGAGGA
rnacentral:misc_RNA from 1 species